GACGUAGGUGGCGAACGUUAUCCGGAAUUAUUGGGCGUAAAGGAUGCGUAGAUGGUGUAGUAAGUUAUCGGUGGCAAAUCGAGGCUCAACCUCGUGGAAGUCGGUAAUACUGCUAUGCUAGAGGAUAGGAGAGGUUAACGGAACUCCCUGUGGAGCGGUGAAAUGCGUAGAUAUAGGGAAGAACACCAAUCAGGCGAAGGCAGUUAACUAUUCUAUUCCU
rnacentral:rRNA from 1 species